UGUUUCGGCUAGGGGGCCAUCCCGGCUUACCAACCCGAUGCAAACUGCGAAUACCGGAGAAUGUUAUCACGGGAGACACACGGCGGGUGCUAACGUCCGUCGUGAAGAGGGAAACAACCCAGACCGCCAGCUAAGGUCCCAAAGUCAUGGUUAAGUGGGAAACGAUGUGGGAAGGCCCAGACAGCCAGGAUGUUGGCUUAGAAGCAGCCAUCAUUUAAAGAAAGCGUAAUAGCUCACUGGUCGAGUCGGCCUGCGCGGAAGAUGUAACGGGGCUAAACCAUGCACCGAAGCUGCGGCAGCGACGCUGAUGCGU
rnacentral:rRNA from 2 species